AAAAACACGGCAAUAUCUUUUCAUCCUUUGCUUUUCCUUUCCUUUUCCUUUUACCUUUCCUUUUCCUUUCCCUUCUAGGGUAUGGCGAUCAUUUUUGGAGUAAACAUGAAGUCUUGCAGAGGCGAGAUUCAAAGGAAGGAUCAAAUUGAACAGGAUCUUCAUUUUGACAGCUUCUUUUU
rnacentral:ribozyme from 9 species